UACGGGAGGCAGCAGUGGGGAAUAUUGCACAAUGGGCGAAAGCCUGAUGCAGCUAUGCCGCGUGUAUGAAGAAGGCCUUAGGGUUGUAAAGUACUUUCAUCGGGGAGGAAAAAACAAAACUAAUAAUUUUAUUUCUUGACGUUACCCGAAAAAGAAGCACCGGCUAACUCCGUGCCAGCAGCCGCGGUAAUACGGAGGGUGCUAGCGUUAAUCAGAAUUACUGGGCGUAAAGAGCACGUAGGUGGUUUUUUUAAGUCAGAUGUGAAAUCCCUGGGCUUAACCUAGGAACUGCAUUUUGAAACUGAAAUACUAGAGUAUCGUAGAGGGAGGUAGAAUUCUAGGUGUAGCGGUGAAAUGCGUAGAUAUCUGGAGGAAUACCUGUGGCGAAAGCGGCCUCCUAAAACGAAUAACUGACAACUGAGGGUGCGAAAAGCGUGGGGGAGCAAAACAGGGAUUAGAUACC
rnacentral:rRNA from 1 species